rnacentral:rRNA from 1 species
CAGUCGCCACGGUAAUACGGAAGGUCCAGGCGUUAUCCGGGUUUAUUGGGUUUAAAGGGAGUGUAGGCGGUCUGUUAAGCGUGUUGUGAAAUUUAGGUGCUCAACAUCUAACUUGCAGCGCGAACUGGCGGACUUGAGUGCACGCAACGUAUGCGGAAUUCAUGGUGUAGCGGUGAAAUGCUUAGAUAUCAUGACGAACUCCGAUUGCGAAGGCAGCGUACGGGAGUGUUACUGACGCUUAAGCUCGAAGGUGCGGGUAUCGAACAGGAUUAGAUACCCCAGUAGUCCCUGUCUCUUAUAA